CGCCAACACAAGGGAGAAUGUUCGGGACGUCAACCUGACCAUACUUAUGGUAACGGUGGUCGAUUUGCCUACCUUGUAGGACUGGGGAUUUAAG